GACGAACGCUGGCGGCGUGCUUAACACAUGCAAGUCGAACGGAAAGGCCCUGCUUUUGUGGGGUGCUCGAGUGGCGAACGGGUGAGUAACACGUGAGUAACCUGCCCUUGACUUUGGGAUAACUUCAGGAAACUGGGGCUAAUACCGGAUAGGAGCUCCUGCUGCAUGGUGGGGGUUGGAAAGUUUCGGCGGUUGGGGAUGGACUCGCGGCUUAUCAGCUUGUUGGUGGGGUAGUGACUUACCAAGGCUUUGACGGGUAGCCGGCCUGAGAGGGUGACCGGCCAAAUUGGGACUGAGAUACGGCCCAGACUCCUACGGGAGGCAGCAGUGGGAAAUAUUGCACAAUGGGCGGAAGCCUGAUGCAGCAACGCCGCGUGCGGGAUGACGGCCUUCGGGUUGUAAACCGCUUUCGCCUGUGACGAAGCGUGAGUGACGGUAAUGGGUAAAGAAGCACCGGCUAACUACGUG
rnacentral:rRNA from 1 species